rnacentral:lncRNA from 1 species
AGCACCGAGCGCUGCAGCCGGGGCGGCACCAGCGGGGACGGCAGCUCCCGCAGGAAAUCCUUCAGGAUCCCUGCAAGACACCACGGGGUCCCGGUUGUGGGGCCAGGGUCCCAUUUUGGGGCUGGGAUCCCAUUUGUUAUACUGGGAACCCUUUUUUUUGAUACCAGGAACCCCCCUUUUCACCCCCAAAUCCCUCCCUUUCAACCCCAAAAUCCCCCCCGGGAUGUCCCCGCGUGUCCCCCUGACCGGUGACCACGUUGAUGUCCGGGCAGAGCCGCUCGGACAAUGCCACGGCCGCGCUGUCCCUCUCGAAGGCGUCCCGCAGCUCCUUCUUGGCCGCGGCCGAGCCGCAGAGCCGGUACAGCCCCACCACCUGCGGGGUCACUGCUGGUCACUCUCCGGCCACCGGUCACUCUCCGGCCACCGGUCAUCAGCGGUCACCCCCCGGGCCCGGUCAUUCCUCGGCUUCAGUCGCCCCUUGGUCACUCCCUGGUCACUCCCCGGUCACUCCUGGUCACCCCUGGUCACUCCCUGGUCACUCCUGGUCAUCCCGGUCACUCCCUGGUCACCCCUUGGUCACUCCCUGGUCACUCCUGGUCACUCCGUGGUCACUCUGGUCACUCCUGGUCACUCCCUGGUCACCCCUGGUCACCCCUGGUCACUCCCUGGUCACUCCCCGGUCACCCCUGGUCACUCUGGUCAUCCCGGUCACUCCGUGGUCACUCUGGUCACCUCUGGUCACCCCGGUCACUCCGUGGUCACUCUGGUCACUCUGGUCACUCUGUCACCACACUCACCGCCAGCCCACGCCGCUCGAUCUCGGCCAGGCACUUGAGCACGAGCAGCGGGACCUGUCCCGGGUGUCCCUCGCGGGCCACCAGCUGUGACAGCUCCACGCCGAACACUCGCGGGCCCGGGGCCACCCGCGGCUGUGGCGGUGACAGCGACAGCGACAGCGACAGGCGACAGAACAGCACAGCCCGCGGCCGCAGAGCCAGCGCCAGCGCCUGUGACCGGCCACCUGCGGGGACACGGGGACAUCAGAGGGACAGCGGGACACCCCCGAGGGUGGGAAUCGGCCCAGACCNNNNNNNNNNNNNNNNNNNNNNNNNNNN